UGCCGCAUCUUUUCCUCUCCCUUAUCUCUUUCACUCUUUCUCUCUCACAAUUGUUUAUUUUCUGAUAUCUUGGGUUUCUUCGUUUCUUCAUUAAACCUUUUUCUAAAUGCUUUUGAUUGCUUUCUUAUUUUGCAGGUACCUAUUCUUAACGAUCUUAAUGAUGUGAGCUUUUUCACAGAAGUUAUCAGGAUGGUUCUGUGUCAAUGCUGAAGAAAGUUCUCAAAGCAGGCUGAAAUUAUCAAAAGCUCAAGAUCUGUCAAAGCCAACAAGUUGCAGUCAGCAAUUGCAUAGUAUUUUCAUGUUAGUGGUAGCUCUAAGGUACGUGUAUUUUACAUUGGUUAGGUUAAUGGUAUCCUCUCACUUAUGCAAACUGUGAAUCACUAUCAAUUGAUUUAGAGGAUAGAUGAAGGAAAAAUUGUCGAACUCUCCAUGCUAUAGAGGGAGAACUGCUGCUCAUAGUUGCACAAGGUAAGUAUUGGUACAUCUAAGGUUCUUUACACAAUCCUUAUAUCCUGUUAUAUGUAUUCAUGCUAACCCAGUUCAAACAAGACAUUAAUACUAUUCCAAUUUAUGUUGCUGCUCUGCUAGCUUCAAGUAAAGGUAACUACAUAGUCAUGCUUAAUCAUAUGGCAGUCAUUAAUCUCGGUGUUCAUAUAUAUCGGGUGAACUGGAAAGUUGCAUGUGCAUUGUUCUGUUUUGUUUCUUUUGACAAGAUGUAGCUGAGAAGGACUCUGUCCAAUUGGCUUAUACGGAUGCUGUUAAACUUCUUUUGAAAUCAAAAAGAAAUUCGAAAUUCAUGUACUGACAUUUGCCUGCGUUUUGUGUGUACCGUACUUUUUGUUUUUGAUAACUUGAAUAUUAUGUGAUCUUAUCCCGUAUCGAAUUGUGGACCGAUUUACCCUACUUAAUAUUUGUAGUCAUCUACGGUUGCUCUGAAACUUCAAAUAUCAUUAUCUGAAAUGUGUAUUUGAAAUCCGGUUGUAUUUUUGUGUAGCACAAACAAAUUAAUGGUGGCUGGUGCAUUUCUCAACUGAUGUUGUGCAUAAAUUAUUACAAUGGUUGGAACUACUGAUUAAAUUGGUCACUUUGAGCAAUUACUCGCGGAGUGGUCAAAAUGCUUGAAUUGAAGAUCAUUUGUCUUCAUUAGAUAAGAGAAAUUAAAAAAAAAACAUGAAGGAGAAGUUUUGCAUUUUAAAAUUGAAAUGUGAAGCGUGGAGAAGAAACAUGGUGAUCAAAUUUCGCCAUAGAGGCACUAUAGACAUUGUUACGGCCUUAGACAUUUCAUGCAUUAUUGUUUAAAGUUUACAUACAUUCAUUAUCUUUUUUGAAAUAGGAUCCUCAUAACUUUACUAUAAUACUAUAUAUCACAAGAAAGUGAGAAAGCAUGAGAACGUUUGAACGACACGUCGUCAAUGCAAUUACAUUGACUACCAAAAACAACUUAAUUCAAUACAUGAUGCAUGGAGUUGUUUAGAAAUAAUAUACGAAUCUGUUAGUUUUA